GACGUAGGGCGCGAGCGUUGUCCGGAUUUAUUGGGCGUAAAGAGCUCGUAUGCGGCUUGUCGCGUCGACUGUGAAAUCUCAGGGCUCAACUCUGACAUUGCAGUCGAUACGGGCAGGCUAGAGUUCGGUAGGGGAGACUGGAAUUCCUGGUGUAGCGGUGAAAUGCGCAGAUAUCAGGAGGAACACCGGUGGCGAAGGCGGGUCUCUGGGCCGAUACUGACGCUGAGGAGCGAAAGCGUGGGGAGCGAACAGG
rnacentral:rRNA from 1 species